GACAGUCAACAAAAUGAGCCCGCGAAAGACUGUUGAGAACAACAACAAAAUAACAGUACGAACACGGUAUGUUUUUUUAUAGUACAUUAUAGUAUCUAUAUACAUGCAUCUAUUUUCCUCUUUUUUUUCAUAUUGUUUAACAAAGACUUUGCUUUGAUUCACGAUGCGGCUAUUAUCAACAUGAGACCUAAACUCCUUUCGGAUCUGUGAGACCACGCCAAUGUUGAUGUGGACCAACAAAUUCUCACACAGCUCUCUGUAAUGACACGCUGAGUCCUUCAAGUUUCGUGGAGUCCCCUGAAUGAGAAGUUCAGGUGCAUGAUUGAUGACUGAAGAUGGCAGAGUGAAAAAAGGCAUACAGUUGGAAGCAGCUAUUCUGCUCUUGCCUGCUCUGUUCAAGGAGGACCCCGGGGUUGCUGUUUGAAGUUGAGGGCCAUUCUCAGACCAGCCCAUCCCAUCCCAACAUCUAAGAUGAAGCUUAAAGGCUGUAGGGAGGGUCAUCUCGUGCAGUAUGACCACAUUGUGCUCACGUUGGAUGGACAGUUAAUCACAGAGGAGAGUGAGGACAUCUCGACGGCACUGGGACUCCUCCUGUGUGUAUUUUGUGUUUGGAAUCCAGUAUCCUAAAGCAGCGGUUCUCCGUUCCAGUCCUCGCGACCUGCCCCCACAUGUUUUGCAUGUCUCACUUAUUUAACACACUUGAUUCAGAUCAUGAGCUCGUUAGAAAAGAGCUCCAUGAAUGAACUGUGCUCUGACUGACAUGGUCCCACAGUGUCCCUACACGGAACAUUCAUUCACAGAUUUACACUACUUCCUGUCACUGUAAGUCAGUAUUUUCUCUAUUUCUGGGCCUCUUCCAGGUCUAGUUGCAGUUUCUAUUGUUUUUUUUAAAUCCUGAAGGAUUUACAGAAAUGUUAGUACACUGUUGACAGUGAAAGAUACUGCAGUACUUCGGAGUGUACAACUUAAUUUGCACAUGGUUGUGUAUUAUUAAUUUUCAGUAAUUUCACUCACUCACUAUUAAUGUUAAAAAGACUAGAUUUUCCAAAUAAAGUAAAGAACUAAUGUAGGCCUAAGACUGUAGGCGAAAAAGUUACCUGAUUACAGGGCUACAGUGUGUGUGUGUAUAUAUAUGUGUGUGUGUGGAAACCAGGACUCUCUCUUCAAAAAUGUACAUAUUUUAAGCUUAUUGCAUUAUUUUGUGUGUGUAUAAAACAACAACUCCCCGUAUAUUGUGAUGUUGUGUAUGUAUAUUCCCUGGCUUGUCAGCACUCAUUUUAUUUGCUGCUGAAAGAAAUGAA